rnacentral:ribozyme from 1 species
CUAGACAAAAAAGACACACAGAGUGUUGAGAGGAUCGUGGCCUUUCCUUUUUCCUUCCUUUCUUUCUUUCUUUCUUUCUUUUUGGCCUUCAAUUUGCCUUUGAGGAAGGAAGG